rnacentral:rRNA from 1 species
AACGAACGCUGGCGGCAUGCCUAACACAUGCAAGUCGAACGAAGGCUUCGGCCUUAGUGGCGCACGGGUGCGUAACGCGUGGGAAUCUGCCCUUUGGUUCGGAAUAACAGCUGGAAACGGCUGCUAAUACCGGAUGAUGACUAAAGUCCAAAGAUUUAUCGCCAGAGGAUGAGCCCGCGUUGGAUUAGGUAGUUGGUGGGGUAAAGGCCUACCAAGCCGACGAUCCAUAGCUGGUCUGAGAGGAUGAUCAGCCACACUGGGACUGAGACACGUCCCAGACUCCUACGGAAGGCAGCAGUGGGGAAUAUUGAACGAUGGGCGCAAGCCUAAUCCAGCAAGGCCGCGUGAGUGAUGAAGGCCCGAGGGUUGUAAAGCUCUUUUACCCGGGAAGAUAAUGACGGUACCGGGAGAAUAAGCCCCGGCUAACUCCGU